rnacentral:rRNA from 1 species
AUUGAACGCUGGCGGCAUGCCUUACACAUGCAAGUCGAACGGCAGCACGGGAGCAAUCCUGGUGGCGAGUGGCGAACGGGUGAGUAAUAUAUCGGAACGUGCCCAGUCGUGGGGAUAACGUAGCGAAAGCUACGCUAAUACCGCAUACGAUCUACGGAUGAAAGCGGGGGAUCGCAAGACCUCGCGCGAUUGGAGCGGCCGAUAUCAGAUUAGGAGUUGGUGAGGUUAAAGGCUCACCAAGCCGACGAUCUGUAGCUGGUCUGAGAGGACGACCAGCCACACUGGGACUGAGACACGGCCCAGACUCCUACGGGAGGCAGCAGUGGG